AGUUAACGCUGGCAGUGUGCAUAAUACAUGCAAGUCGAGCGGAAUACCUUGCGUCGCAAGAUGUGAGGUGUUCAGCGGCAGACGGGUGAGUAACACGUGAGAAAUCUGCCUUUAAGCGGAGGAUAACCCAUCGAAAGGUGGGCUAAUACUCCAUACUAUCCCUAGAGGACAUCCUCAGGGGAUGAAAGCCCCGCAAGGGGCGCUUAGAGAGGAUCUUGCGGCCUAUCAGCUAGUUGGCGGGGUAAUGGCCACCAAGGCGACGACGGGUAGCCGGACUGAAAGGUCGAACGGUCACAGGGGCACUGAGACACGGGCCCCGACUCCUACGGGAGGCAGCAGAGGGAAUUUUGGACAUGGCGAAGCCUGAUCCAGCAACACU
rnacentral:rRNA from 1 species